rnacentral:rRNA from 1 species
UACGUAGGGGGCAAGCGUUGUCCGGAUUCAUUGGGCGUAAAGAGCGUGUAGGCGGCCAGGUAGGUCGGUUGUGAAAACUGGAGGCUCAACCUUCAGAGGUCGACCGAAACCAUCUGGCUAGAGUCCGGGAGAGGAGAGUGGAAUCCUGGUGUAGCGGUGAAAUGCGCAGAUAUCAGGAAGAACACCCAGUGGCGAAAGGCGGCUCACUCGUCCGGA